AUUGAACGCUGGCGGCAUGCCUUACACAUGCAAGUCGAACGUGAAAGGGGGGCAACCCCCGAGUAGAGUGGCGGACGGGUGAGUAACACAUCGGAACGUACCCAGUAGUGGGGGACAACCUCGAGAAAUCGAGGCUAAUACCGCAUACGACCCACGGGUGAAAGCGGGGGACCGCAAGGCCUCGCGCUAUUGGAGCGGCCGAUGUCCGAUUAGCUUGUUGGCGGGGUAAGAGCCCACCAAGGCGACGAUCGGUAGCUGGUCUGAGAGGGAUGAUCAGCCACACUGGGACUGAGACACGGCCCAGACUCCUACGGGAGGCAGCAGUGGGGAAUUUUGGACGAAUGGGGGCAACCCUGAUCCAGCCAUGCCGCGUGC
rnacentral:rRNA from 1 species